CUCUUUCUUUGAGCUGCUCAUCCCAUGUGGAAAUGGAAGUCCCACGGUCUCCAUAAUAUAUCAGGGCUGGUGGGGCACGUCCGUAUACUGCUUGAAAGGGAGAUACUCCUAAGGAACACUGAUACGCGGUAUUAUACCAAUAUUCAGCCCAAGGAAUCCAUUUCAUCCAUUCUUUUGGACGCUUUCCACAAAAACAUCUUAAGUAAAUCUCCACUGACCUGUUAACCACCUCGGUCUGACCAUCCGUUUGAGGAUGAUAUGUGGUACUCCGGUUCAAUUUCGUGCCUGCCAUACGAAACAUUUCCUUCCAAAAUUUGCUCAUAAAGAUCUUAUCACGGUCAGAAACUAUUGACUGUGGGAAACCGUUCAAUCUUACAACUUUUUUCACAAACAAUUCCACAACCACCUUGGCAUCAAACGGAUGUUUAAGGCCCAGAAAGUGAGCAUACUUGCUGAAACGAUCAACCACCACAAAAAUUACCUCAUAUCCACAGGACUUGGGUAGUCCUUCGAUGAAGUCCAUAGAAAUGUCUUCCCAUAUUCUACUUGGUAUCUCCAAGGGAGUUAAUAAACCUGCCGGUGAAAGGGCUAAGGUUUUAUUUCGCUGACACGUGGCACACUCUUCACAAUACUUCUGUAUUUCAGCUUUCAUGCCAACCCAGAACAACUCUUCGGUUAGUCUCUCGUAUGUUCUUAGGAACCCAGAAUGUCCUCCCAACACAGAGUAAUGGUAUGUAUGCAGAAUAGUAGGAAUCAAUGCAGAUUUUUUUGCAAUUACUAUUCUUCUCUUGUACUUAAGUAGUUUUUGUUGCCACGUAUAAUUCUUCACUUCUUCACCUUUCUGCAACCUGUUAAUGAUUUCCUUCCAAAAUUCAUCCUCCUUUACUUCUUCCAUUACGACCUUUAGAUCCACCAAUGUAGGGGCAGUUAAGUGGUUGAGGUGUGCCACAGGGAUUACUCGAGACAAAGCAUCAGCUGCCUUGUUUUCUAGGCCGAGCUUAUAAAUCACAUCAAAUGAAUAGCCAAGUAACUUUGCAAUCCAUUUUUGGUAUUGUGGUUGGAUUACCCUCUGUUCCAAUAAGAACUUGAGAGAACGUUGAUAAGUUUUGACAAUGAAUGUCCGACCUAACAUGUAUGGCCUCCAACGUUGCACUGCCAACACGACCGCCAUCAACUCUCUUUCAUAGACUGGUCGGGCACGGUCCCUCAUAGCUAAAGUGUGGCUGUAGAAAGACAAUUGGUCUUUUGUUCUGCAUUAGGACAGCUCCCACCCCAUAACUAGAUGCAUCAGUUUCCACUUCAAAAGGUGAAUUGAAGUCUGGAAGAGCCAGAGUAUGCAGAGUCAUAAUGGCCUAUUGUAAUCUUUCAAACGCUGCUUGAGCUUUCUGAUUCCAUUUAAAGGAUCCCAACUUCAAUAGCUGCGUUAAGGGGGUCGCAAUGGACCCAUAAUGCUGUACAAAUCGACGGUAGUACCCAGUCAAUCCCAAAAAUCCUCUCACUUCACGCACAUUCGUUGGAACCGGCCAUUGUUUGAUUGAUCUGAUUUUUUCGGGAUCCACUUCCACCCCAUUCCUAGACAGCAUGUGACCCAAAUACUCAAGUUUAGUAGCCGCGAAACUGCACUUCUUCUUAUUAGCAAACAAUCUAUGACUUCUCAAGACUUCCAACACCAAUUCUAUAUGUUGGCAGUGUUCUUCCCAUCCUCUACUUUAUACCAAAAUGUUAUCGAAAAAGACUAGGACAAACUUCCGCAAGUAGGCUCUAAAGAUAUUAUUCAUUACGGACUGAAACAUUGCCGGAGCAUUUGUGAGUCCAAACGGCAUUAAUAAGAAUUCAUAAUGCUCUUCAUGAGUCCUAAAGGCCAUCUUUUCUAUGUUAUGACUACACAUCCUAAUUUGGUGAUAACCAACCUUUAAAUCAAUUUUAGAAAAUAGGUUCGCUCCAUUUAAUUCAUCGAACAAUUCUUCAACCACAAGGAUUGGGAACUUUUCUGGGAUGGUGAUAUUGUUGAGUGCUCUGUAGUCCAUGCAGAAACACCAACUCCCAUCUUUUUUCUUUACUAAUAAGACUGGGCUUGAGUAUGAGCUGGUACUUGGGCGGAUAAUCCCGGAUGAGAGCAUUUCAUCCAUUAAUUUCUCCAUUUCCUCCUUAUGUUGAAAGGCAUAUCUAUAAGGUCUGACGUUGAUUGGAUCGCUGCCACCCUUGAUGUGUAUAUGAUGUUUAAUAUCCCUCUCCGGUGGUAAUUAUUCGGGCCAUUCAAACACAUCCUCGUACUGUCUUAGCAUUGCCUGCACUUUUUCUGGUAUGCUAAUGAGCCCAUCCUCUGCUCUUGGCUCAUACUCCAUGAUUCUUGUUUCCAGGGCUCGACAUUCAACCAAAUAUCCCAGAUCCGAAUCAGUCCAUGACUUUGUUAAAUUCUUCAGGCUGACUUCUGUCCUGGUUAGACUGAGGUCCCCUUUUAUUAUCACCUUCCUAUUGUCAUGAGAAAACGACAUGAUCAGGUUCUUCCAGUCCAUCUCUGUUACCCCUAGGGAAUAUAGCCACUGUCUUGAUCUAAACUUACUUUAGGUGCAUUCCUGUCAAUUAGAAGGAAUGCCUCUCUCACGCUAGCUAAUAAUAUGUUUUAUUAGCUCUCUGAGUUUUAGUUUAUUCUUUAGACACUCUCUAAUGCAUAGGGUUCAUUUACGACAUAAAAUAACUGUCAUCGUAGACCAUUUUUCUUGUAGUGUAGCUAUAAUGAAUGAUUUGCAUUUUACCAUUUUUAAAUAUUAAUUGCUAGUAGUUUAGCUAUUUAAUUUUUUAUUUGGCUAUUAUUUUUCUAGUUGGUUGAAUGUAACUUUGUUGGUUCAUUUGCCACACUUAAUGAUAGGUUAUUGUCCUUCUAAUCACAAAUUUUAUUUAAAAGAAAUAUUUAUCUUGAGUAGUUGAAAACUUGCAACUCUAUUUUAGUGCUCCUCUCAUAGUUACAAAAAAAGUCACUUCAAGUUGAGUUAAUUGCAAUUUGUAGUAAUAUAAUUACAAAUGAGGUUGAAUUUUUUGUAUUGUACUUUAUGCCCUAGCUGCCAAGUUAUUUUCUUUUUAAUUAUUUCAUAAUCUAAUAAUUUCUUGAAUACCUGGGAAAUCUAUUUUUAGGGGAUCUUAUCAAUGAAAACACACUGAUGAAAGUGAUUAGAGGGCUUAAUAAGAGUACUGGGGUUGUGCUAGAAUAUUUGCAAGAAGCAAAGGAGCAUGGACAUAGAAAAGGAAAAGACAUUUUAGCAUCUAUACCGGGUUAUUGGGAGGUAAUAUGUUCUAUAUUUGAAGGUGAAGAUGAACAUAUGUUUAUCAGCGCCCAAUUAUUACCUGCGAUUCGGUAUUUUAUUGUACAAAUAUAAAAUGCCUAAAUUCCAUUUCUAUAUUUACAAAUGAACGUCCUUUCAAUAAUUCACUCCUUUCUUUGCAAUUUUAGAAGAAUCAGAUAAGGAAGUUAAAUGAUUCAACAUCCAAGUAAAAGCAUAUGAAGAUAAUUCAAAUUUGAACAUGUCUGUACAACUUAUAUGCUCAAAGAAACGAGUAAUAAAUGUGGGAAAGUUCCAAUUCUUUCAGCAGAUCCAUUUCAUAGAACUCUUAGUUCAUUGUUUUUCCUUUUUUUUUUUUAAUCUUUACCUAUUAUUUUAUUUGGUUUAAUGUGGUUGAGUGAUACCACUUUUUAAUUGACAAAACAUUUUCAUUUCAUAUUUCUUUCAAGUGGGAAUCUCAACAUCAGAUUUCUUCUUUCUUCUUUGAAGUGGAAAUUUCUUUGGUAGAAAUUACUUUAGCCCAUUUCACAAUUUGAGUAUAUUCAUACUAAAAGAACAUCAUUCCAUGUGACUUUUACUCUUUUCAGUGUUUACUAGAUGGUUUGGUUCUCUUUUGAUUGUGGACUUUUCCUAUUUUAUGCAAUCCUUAUUGUUCCCGUGUUUCAGAUAGCAUGGACUUUCUUCUCCAUAUGAUACAUGUUUUAUAUACUUCAAAGAAUUUCAGGUUCUCUCUCUCUUAGUGUGUGGGUGUGAGUUUACCUUUUUAGGGGUGUUCUAGUGGUUCUUGAGCCUAAAUACAUGUUGAAGUGCUAUGACUAUCUUAUAGCUAUGGUAGUCUUUUUCUUAAUUUUACUUUAUGCGUGCUUAAAUGAUCAUUUCUUCCUAAACGUAUUUUGAUAAGGAACAUAUUUAUGCAUGUUAGAAGAAGAAAUGCGCUAAAACGUAUUUAGGAAACACAUUUCUUCCUAAAUGUGCUUAAAUGAUCAUUUCUUCCUAAACGUGUUUUGAUAAGGAACAUAUUUUAGUAUGUUAGAAGAAGAAACGUGCUUAAACAUGUUUAGGAAACAUUUUUUGUGUACUUAUUAGACAACUUUAGCAAUUGAGUUUAAUUUUUCUAGGCAAUUGAAUGAUAUUCCUUCUGAACUCGAGAAACUGGAUAAGUUGUUUGAAUUGUGAGUUACAUGUUGUCUACAAUAUAUUUUUCAAACUUUUGAUGCAAAUAUUUCUUUGCUAUGAUCCAUAAAUCUUGCUAAUAAUUAUCUUAAAUGACCUAUCCCUCACAACACAUCCGUCUUACACUGCAUCAAAUUAAUUGUAAGAUAUCCUACGGCCUUCUGUUGAAAUUUCAUAGGUGACUAAAAAUGCUUUGGUGGAAUGGUUACAAUAUGCCAAAUUUCUAAAGCAUGGCUUCUGCUGUGUAAAUAUAAGUGAAUCAAAGUAUUCUUGUACCUAUGGUUCUAUGUAACAUUACUUGUCUCAAAUAAUUUUGUGCAUAUAUUUUAGCCAAUUUUUGUUACUAUACUUUUAAGAUUCCUUUUGUAAGGCAAUAUAGAUGGAUAGUAUUUGUUCAUAUUGCCCAAUAAUAAUUCUUUCAUUUUUGUGAGUAUAAGUAUUUAUAUUUUUUUCUUAGGAACACUCCAAUAUUUUUGAAGUAUAAGUUCGUGUCCAAGGAACCCUUUUGUUUAGGGGCAUAUAUCUCACAAUGCACAAUUAUUUGGGAUUCUACCUUGGUUAAAAAGAAUCCAUUGGAGCAGUGAAGCCAACUUGGAGCAAUUUUGAUUGAUAUAAGACUUUUUGUAUGGUUGGUAGCAAAAUCUUGGUUCCAAUGUACUAAUUUUAGGCUUGUUGUUAGAUAAAGAUGUCAAUGUUUAUUCUUUUUACAUGUAAACUACAUUUUAACAAAAAAUGAUUAGUAAUCAAUGAGUGUACAAAUA